CAAAAGAAUAAGUAUUUUUGUCCUCGUCUGAGGCGGCAAACGAGCAACGUGGAGCUCCUUUUUUAAACUUUUGUUAAAACCUUGCAUGUUGCUAUGUAUUGACUAAAGGAGAUGAUUCGCAUGGAUGGAAAUGACCGAAACGAAUGUGGUUCAGCAUAUCUCAACGAGUCCGGUGUCCUUGAAGUCAAGAGAUGCAUGCUGACAAAGAAUUGUUGGAGAAAAGUUUCCAAAGCCAUCUGUUUGAACCCCCAGGAGGUGAUGCCCCUCUGCUCCUCUUCGGCCCAGUGGGUUCUGACUCAUCAGUUGAUGCACUUCCUCUCCUGUGUUAGGUUUCGUACCACUUCCUGGUUCCAACGCUUGUCCUGAUGGAGUGAAGGAGCAGAAUCAAACUAACCGUUGGAUGUUUUGACUGAUGUAUAUUCAUAGAAAUAGAUUAAAUGUAAUCUAUAUUGGUGUAUUGUCAGGAGAACCAUUUGUCAAAUGGUGAAGUAUGAUAUCCACUUCCUCAAGGAGAAGGUAGCAAGCUAUAAGCAUGAGAAUGUUAUUGCAAUGCUCUUGCAGGGGGCUCUGUAAUGCCCAUAUCACAUUUGUAUGAAUGUAUUUCUGGAAUAUACUGUUCUCUUAGUGGCGUAAACUAAUGUGGCACGAUGUCAACUAAUUUUGCCUUACAUUUGUCUAUGAUUCAUCAAUAAAACUAGUAAACAAA